UUUUCAAGUUGGUCCAAAUCGGGGUCCAAAAUUAAACUUUUGUUUGAUUUCAUCAAAAAUUGAAUAAUUGGGGUUCUUUGAUAUGCCAAAUCUAACUGUGUAUGUAGAUUCUUAAUUUUUGGUCCCGUUUUCAAAUUGGUCUACAUUAAAGUCCAAAGGGUCCAAAAUUAAACUAAGUUUGAUUUUAACAAAAAAUGAAUUCUUG
rnacentral:lncRNA from 1 species